GAUGGCCUCGUUUAAUAUUAUUUCAUCAGCUUUUUCAGAAUGUUUUGAAGUAACAGAAGAAAUUAGGCGAUUGACAAUGGAGCUUCGAGCUAAAGCAGAAGAAGACGCGACAACUACAUUUGAUAUAUUCGAGCCUUUGAAUUAUCAAAUCGCUGAAAAGAACGACGCCAUUUUUUAUCGCAUACACAUUCAAACGAGUUAUCAUACAAAGAUUAUAAUCAUCUGUAAAGGGGAAAUGAGGAAUGACAAUGAUGACAAAUCUCAAGACGUUACCUUUUUGGAAAUCGAAGGAAUCUGAAAAUGAUCCCAGAGGCUCCCUAAUGAAGUCCGAACACUAUAUCAGUGAAAUUUUUCGAUUUACUCAUUCUUCCGUGUUAAUAAGCUGCA